rnacentral:rRNA from 1 species
AUGCCGAAGGGCGCCAAAAAGCGUGCGAAGCUCAAGAAGAAGCAGCAGGGGGGCCAGCCUGCCGGGUCCAACGGCGGCGCCACCACCACCACCAACAACAACGGAAGCAAUAACUCGAGCCACGGCAACGCCGCCAGCGAUGGAAACCACCUACCAAUCAAACUUAACAUUCCUCCCGUGGAUGCGAGCGAGGAUUCGAUGGAGAGCUCCGAGGAGAUGGUGACGCCGAGGGCGGAGGCGGCCGAGGAGGAGAAGAAGGGCGCCACGUCGGAGGUGCCGGUGGAGCGCGCCGUCGAGGUCGCUGAUGAGGGCGCCACGGGCGAGGCCGGGGAGGAGGUCAUGGUUGAUGCUUUACCGCCUGAAGCUGCUGACCGGGAACAAGAGGGUAAGGUGGAUGUGAGGGCGGAGGCGCAUGCCGUGGUGCAGGAACCGGAGGUGCAGGACAUCGUGGUGUCCGAAGCACCCGAGGUGCUGGAACCAGAGGUGAAGAGCGAGGAGGCGGUGAUCCGGGACACGGCCAAGGUGCAUCCUGCGCAUCAACCGGAGACGAAGGCCGAUGAGGUUGUGGUCAGGGAUGCGGACACCGCUGCUGUGGUGCAGGAACCGGAGGCAAAGGGUGAGGUGUCACGGUCUCGUGAGCCAGCUGCUGCGCAGACUACAGAGGUGGUACGCGGACCGGCAGUGGCGGUGGCUGCUUCGGGGCAUCGGGCAAAAUGGUGGAAUUGCUGUGGGAUUUUGGAAGUCUUUGGUGGUUCAGAGAGAUAG